AUGGACGCGGUCGACUCCGUGGUGGACCCCCUCCGCGAGUUCGCCAAGGACAGCGUCCGCCUCGUCAAGCGCUGCCACAAGCCUGACCGCAAGGAGUUCACCAAGGUGGCGGCGCGGACGGCGAUCGGGUUCGUCGUCAUGGGGUUCGUCGGCUUCUUCGUCAAGCUCAUCUUCAUCCCCAUCAACAACAUCAUCGUCAGCUCCGGCUAG
rnacentral:rRNA from 1 species